GAUGAAGAACGUAGCGAAAUGCGAUACUUGGUGUGAAUUGCAGAAUCCCGUGAACCAUCGAGUCUUUGAACGCAAGUUGCGCCCGAAGCCAUCAGGUUGAGGGCACGUCUGCCUGGGCGUCACAUAUCGUUGCCCAAUGCCUAUUGCAGUGCAAUAGGAAUUUCUAGGGCGAAUGAUGGCUUCGCGUGAGCGUUGUUGCCUCGCGGUUGGUUGAAAAUCGAGUCCUUGGUAGGGUGUGCCAUGGUAGAUGGUGGUCGAGUUAGAACGAUACCGAUCAUGUGCAUGCUCCCCAAAAUAUGGCCUCUAUGACCCACACGCGUCUUUUGACGCUCAUGACGAGACCUCAGGUCAGGCGGGGCUACCCGCUGAAUUUAAGCAUAUCAAUAAGCGGAGGA
rnacentral:misc_RNA from 1 species